UAUGGGCCUGCCCCUGCUGGUGAGGUGGCCACAACGGUGUGUGGGAAUGGGAUGCUCUGUGACCCAGGUGGUGUGGGCUGAGUCCCGGGAGCCAAAGGGCAGAGGCAGGAUCAGCCACGGGAUUCCAGCCUUGGUCUUCCGGGGUAAGCUCCACAAAGGCGGGAAAGUCUGUCCCUGUCUAGGACAGUGGCUGGCACACGAGGGCCGUCGGUAAACUCUUGGAUGAACCAGGCUCAGAGACACACAGUGCUCAAGGUCACACAGCGAGUCAGUGAGGGAGGGGAUGUGAAACCAGGGCCAAGGCUGCAGCGGACAGCAAAUCCAAAGAAGUGUUCCACUCAAUUCUGGGCUGACAUGCAGUUGGGGAGAUAGGAGAAACUGAUAAUGCAUGAACAUUUAACAUGAUGGCAGGUGUCAUAGAUGCCGUGAGAGAAAACAAAGCAAGACGGGGGCUUACAGGAAGCUGGGGCUCUUAGGGAGGUCAGAUUGGGUGCCCCACACUUCCACAGGGAACUCCCAACCCCAGGCUCUGGGGAAGGAGCAGACACACACCAAUGUGCGAAUGCAGCUGCAACACUCGCUGGAAGGAGAGGUGACACUGUCUGGGGCGUCUGGGAAGGCUGGUCAGAAGAGGUGACGCCUUGGCAGGGCUUGGAGAGGGAGGUUCCAGCAGGGUCGGCCUCACACACAUGAAGGGUCUUGGAUGUCGACACUGGACAUCCUUCCCCAGGGAGGUAGUUCAUUCAGUCAUGGAACAUUUCAAGGUGGGAAGAAGGUGUUCAUCACAUGGCUAUGAUCAUGUACCCAUUGCAGACCACCCUGUCCUGGGGGCAUGAGGAGUUCAUCUCCUAAAUCAGUGGUUCUCAACAGGGACAGUCCUCCCUCCCCAGGGGACAUUUGGCAAUGACUGGAGGAGUUGCUACUGGCAUCUCCUGGGUGGAGGCCAGGCAGGGCUGCUGCUGAACAUCCCUGUCUAGUGCACAGGACAGCCUCCACCACAAAGAAUCAUCCAGCCCCAAAUGUCAACAGCACCGAGGUUGAGAACUCUGUUCUAAGCCCUGAAAUUAUCAUUUGACAAGCGCAAUUAUAAUGCAAUGUCUUUUUGAUGCACCAAAGGCAUUAAUGUCUUCAAUGUGAAUAUUUAAAACACACAGGUGACCUGUUUGGUGAUUUAUUUCUUAAUAAAGCAGGAGCCUUGUAACAUGGGAGUGGUUCCAUGCAAAGGGAACAGCAUGCACCAGGCUCAGUGGCUCAGUGGAAAGAGAGCAGGCAUCUGUAGUUGACUACACCUGGGACCGAAGGGAUGGUGGGAAUAGAGCCCAGAGAGGGGCAGGGGCUGCACAAGGCAGGGCUCAGACCCCAGACCACAGAGCAUGGAUUGUGUCCUGGGAGGGGGAGACCUUGAGAAGAUUUAAACAAGGGGAGAAUGGGAUCUAUAGCAUACUCUAGAAAGAUCCCUCAGCAGCAAUGAGAUUCAGUUUUAUACCCACAAAAUUGGUAAAAAUGUCAGUUUGACACUGCCAAGUGUUGGCAAGGAAAUGGAGCAACUGAAAUUCCCACACCCUGCUGGUGGGAACAUACAUUGGAACAGCCAAUUUGGAAAAUCCUUCUAAGGCUUAUGCCCCGAGGGAAACCCUCACACGUGGGAAUAGGGACAAGAACACUCAUUGCUGCACUGUUUAUGGUAGCAACAGACAGGAGUGACCGAAAUGUCCAUCUUAAGGAGAAUGAGCAAAUACCUUGUGUUACAGCUGCACAGGGGACUAUGACACUGCAGUGAGAACGAAGAAACCGACUCCAUACGUGAGCAUGGAGGAGCAGCCCCAGCAUGGCAGUGAGCAGCACAAACCAGUCAUUGAAAGCAUCAUUGUGACACCAUUUAUUGAAAACGUACACACAUGCAGAAUAAUGCGUUAAGGAUUUAUACAUAUAGAGUAAAAGUAUAACAACAUGCAUGGGAAAGAAGAGACAGAGUGCAGGGCGUGAGCCUGGAGGCUGGGAGGCCCAGGAGGAGGCUGGCACAAAGGAGAGGGGACAGGCCAUGCAGUCCAAGGUGAGGAAGCAGU
rnacentral:lncRNA from 1 species